UAUUAGUAUUGCACCCGUGCGGAGCCGUGGCAGUUCGCUAGUUUACAAUAAAUUGAACAUUUAUGUAACUAUACAUAGGGUCAACGAGCCAGAGAAUGAACACCACCCAAUAACAAUUCAACUGAUUUUAUCUAUAUAAAGGUUAUUUGAAAUAACUUAUUUCAAUUAUUAGAAGCCGAAGAAAACGUUUGUAAAUAUGGCAACGGUCAUUCCGUUCAUACACUGGAAAAAUCAUAACCUCAAACAGUGUAUUCAUAUUAUAACAUCGAUAGAUCGGUACCAGAGUACCAGUCAGGUAGAACCAAGUGUGCUCCGUUUUUGUUAAGAUGGAUAAAAAAAAUACCAAUGAUUUCGAUAUUCGGAGAAAAUAUUGACCAACGCUAUCACAGACAUUAAAAGCGGGAAUAUUUGAAUGAGGCUUCUGAGAAAUAUGGAAUAAACAAAUCUACUCUUCACAACAAACUAACGGAUACGGUUCCAAAUAUAGGAAAAAUGGACCCAUCUCCCAUUUUAACUUCAGUCGAAGAAAAACGAGUAGAAGAUUGGAUUUCAUUAAAAGCAAAAUUGGGUUUUCCAAUGCAUCCAAACGAUGUCAAAAAUGCAGUAAAAAAAUAUUACAGGAUAUUGGUCGAGCCAACCCUUUCACAGAUAGCAGACCGGGCGACAAGUGGCUAAAAUUAUUUUUGGGAAGACAUCCUCAAAUUGCAAGAAAAAAUACUGAAAUUAUUUCGAAAUCCCGGGCAUCUGUAACAGACGAAUCUAUUUGAGCAUGGUUUUCUGAUCUUCAAGCUUUCCUGCAAAAUAAAAGCAUCUUAGAUAUGAUCAAAGAUCCUUCGAGGGUUUUUAAUGCAGAUGAAACAGUCAUCAGAACGUGCAUGAAACCAGGUCCAGUUUUAGCACCUAAGGAUAUAAAAACCUGUACGAAGUUUCUUCCGGCAGUGAGAAAGAAUCAAUUACCGUUCUCUGCAAUUAUUCAGCAGCAGGGAUAGUAGCACCGCCAAUGGUUAUGUUUCCUUGUAAAAGAAUUCCGAAAGAUCAACUAAUUAAGAAAACGAAACAAGAGAAUAAAGCCGAAAAAGUAGAAAACAGCGAAGGGCAGAAGGCAAUGAGAGAGGUCAGGAAACUCGAAAAAAAAAAAAUACGAUGAAGAGGAGCAGACUAAGAGAUCGAAUGAAGACAAGAAAGCCGAAAAAGAAAGAAAACAGCGAAGAGCAGGAGACUAUUAAAGGAAACACAAAUAAUGAAAAGGAAAAAUAGGACAACGAGCAGCAGGCUGAAACAAGACAAGAAAGCGAAAAAAGACGAAAACAGCGAAGAGCAACAGACUAUGGAAAAAGAAAAGAAAGUCCAAAAAGAAAAAUACGGUGAAGAGCACCAGAAAUCGAAACAUGGCAGGAAUAUUGAAAAAGACAAAGGAGAACAGCUGGUUGAGAAUAUAGAACAAGACAACAUAUCUGAGUCCUCAGCUGAUAUUUUUAAUGUUGGGGA